AGAGAUAAAGGAAAGCAGAUUUUAGCAUAGUUGAUCAUUUGGGUUUUGGAUUUAUUUGAUUAGGAAACAAUAAAGUGCUUGGAGAUCUAUCAGUAGUGUCACAAAGAAACCAUUUUCUUAAAAUGAUACAGGUCACAGGUGACCUGGGCUUAAAGGAGUCAUCAUUAUAAAUCCUACUAUCCUUCUCCAUGGUAGAGAGAUUCCCAAGAGUGCAUCCUAACGGAGACAGAGGCUCGCUACACGGCCUUGCUGACCCAGAUCCAGAGUCUGAUCGAUAACCUGGAGGCUCAGCUGGCAGAGAUCCGGUGUGCCCUGGAAAGACAGAACCAAGAAUAUGAGAUCCUGCUGGACGUCAAGUCCCGGCUGGAGUGUGAGAUUACCACAUACCGCAGCCUUCUGGAGAGCUUGGAUGGCAAGUGUCCCUGUUACCCGUGUGCCACCAAAUGUGAGCCUUCCCCUUGGGCAUCUUGUAAGUCCGGAGCCAUAGAAAGCAAGGCCCCAGCUUGCACAUCCUCAUCCCCCUGCAGCUUAAAGGAGCACUGCAGUGCCUGUGGACCCCUGUCCCGGAUACUGGUUAAAAUUUGCACCAUCACCAAGGAGAUUAAGGAUGGGAAGGUCAUUUCCUCUUACGAGCAUGUGCAGCCUUGUUUCAUCAUCAGACCUGCCAAAGUCUAACAUCCCAAGGUGAUGAAAAUGACACACAUUUAUGAAACAGAGGCCAAUACAUGCUCCUGCCAGAGAGGCUUAAGAAAACUCCCCAGUCCCUUAAGGUACUU
rnacentral:sRNA from 1 species